UUGCAAAGCUUUGCAUGUGUUUGGAGAAACAAAAAAUUAACAAAAAAAUAAAAUAAAAGUGUCCUGGAUAUAAAUCAUAAAAUAUUUGAGUUCGAGCAAAGGAAAAAUGUUUUAUAUGAUAAAUAGAGCUAAGCCAAAAAAAUAUAGAUUAGCAUAAUUGCCAAAUUUAUUAAAUCAUUUUAUGCCCACUUUUAAGGAGAGAUCUAUCAAAACAAAAGAGACCCAUGAAAUAAAAUCUACAUCUUCCUUUUGUUACAAAUAGAUAUGCAUGUUUGCAUGAGUGAAUAGGUAUCUUGCUAUCUUGCUAUUGCUUUUGGAUGACUGCCAUGAAAUGGGAUGAUUUUUAAGUAGAUAGAAUUAUUAUAUAAGGGCUAGGACUCUUCUUUACUUUGUUUUUAAAAAAGGGUUAGAACUCUUAUUUAUGUUAACUUUGAGAAAAGAUUAUGACUCUUAUUGAUAUCUCACUCUCAUUAUCUUAAACCAAUCCCUUCAGUUGCAGUUAGAUAAUAGAGAAGACUAUGCAAUCCAACCAAUUAAAGUUAAAAAAUUUAGAAAAAACAAUUGACUCCUAAAUUUCUCAG
rnacentral:lncRNA from 1 species